CUUAUCCACUCAUCUUCCUCCCUACGCUCAUUCUCUCCAUUCCCCCAUCUUCUCCGAUCCGGUCCACCUCCCCACCGCCGUCUCCGCGCGCCGGCUCCGCCCUCUCCUAUCCUUGCCGCUGCGGGCGUCUCAUAGCGCGCCGGCUCUGGCCAAUCCUAUUUGCGCCGGUGGUGGAUGCAGCGCGGCCACCUCGAAGCGGAGUCCUGGAGGCGCGGGCGGCGGAGGGUGACUGGAGAUGAUGUGGACGGCGGUGGGUGACAUGAGUUGUCGCGGACAACGGGACGAGGAGAAGUCUUGGCCGGCGACGGACUCGCGAGACCGCUCCUCUGACGACGUAGCGAAGGGCGAGGGGGACAGCAGACGGGCGGGAGGAGCCUGUCAAGGGCACGGCAAGGUGAGGUCCUGGCCAGCGACGGACUCACCGAGCCACUCCUCUGACGACGGAGGGGAGGUCGGGGGAGGAGGGCGCCUGGAGGCCGUUGGCGUCUACAUCGUCGUCAUCCGUGACGGCGGCGGCGUCGACGCUUGUGGCCGUGGUCGCCUCAGUUGCGCCGUCCUCCGUGCAAGGAGGUCCAGACCGACCAGCCGCCGGCGCGCUUCAUGAUGCAGGCGUCGGCAAGCUCGAACGUCUCGCUGACCCUGGCGCCUCCUUCAGCGGCGCCAGAAUCCCCUGGAGCGCGACGGCACUGGCCUCCACUCUGGCAGCGGCCGCUGCCCCUACAAGGGCUAGGUCCUGGCGUAGCACCAGCAGAUGCGCCUCCUGCACGAGGAUGUUGCAGGCUAUAGAGAAAAGGCCCGUAGGGGCGACGGGAAGGAGCAUUCGGGCUGGGAGGCCUCUCCUCCCGAAAGAUUUCGUUCGUAGCGUGCAGCCUGUCGCACCAAACUUCGUAGUGCGGUCUGGAAGGCCCCCAGACCGAACGUUUGGUCCUUAUCGACGUCCAAUAACAUUGAUCGACGGGUUAGACUCGUUUAAGCACGUUUAUGACAAGUGGGUCCUUCUUUU